AAUGGCAGAGAUUAUUAAAGAAGAUAAAAGAAGAGAUAAUUUCCUUCAAGGAAGAAAUUCUUCCCCUCUCUACUGUAGAAGAUUCAUGUACUUUAAUCUACAUACAGAUGAUAUAAAGAUGGAAAAGACAGGAAUUAAAGAUGUAUUAAAUACUGGAAUACAGGAUACUGUAGAGAAUAAACGUGUUUUUGAUCCUGAUUGAGCUAAUCAUUAGACAUGAAAACGAGAAUAAAGGAGAGGUCUGUGUGAAGGGUAUUCUGCUGUAGGAAGAGGGAGUAGAGGCUUGUGGCGAAGAACUCUCUUCUGAUCCCGUAGAGG